CACUGCGGACGACCGCAGUGCUCCCCCACUUUGCGGGACGGCCCG
rfam:Pseudomonas sp. 1 R 17 genome assembly PSEFL294_LIB5394, contig: PSEFL294_LIB5394_000037